rnacentral:rRNA from 1 species
UACGUAGGGUGCGAGCGUUAAUCGGAAUUACUGGGCGUAAAGCGUGCGCAGGCGGUUAUUUAAGCCAGACGUGAAAGCCCCGGGCUUAACCUGGGAAUGGCGUUUGGGACUGGAUAGCUAGAGUACGGCAGAGGGAGGUGGAAUUCCACGUGUAGCAGUGAAAUGCGUAGAGAUGUGGAGGAACACCGAUGGCGAAGGCGGGUUGCUGGGCCGACACUGACGCUGAGGCGCGAAAGCUAGGGGAGCGAACGGG